rnacentral:rRNA from 1 species
AUGAAUGGCAAGAAGGGUAGUAUAAGGAUAGAUAUUUGCCAGCCACCAAAAAGCGUGGAGCAAGAAAGUGUAAAGAAGCAGAUCAGUGAGAAAGGCCAGUCCCCAAGUAAAAGGCUAUGUGAUGUCUGGGACUUCGCUAGGCAGGACACAAACAGGGUUACCUUUGCACUCAAAGUUGGCCUUGCUUGCCUCCUUGUGUCACUUCUCAUACUCUUUCGUGCGCCCUAUGGCAUCUUUGGGACUAACAUCAUAUGGUCCAUCCUCACUGUUGCUAUUAUGUUCGAGUACACUAUCGGUGCAACAUUCAAUCGUGGAUUCAAUCGAGCUCUUGGAAGUGUACUUGCUGGAGUAUUUGCGAUAGUCAUUAUUCAAGUGGCUAUGUCUUGUGGCCACACUGCAGAACCAUACCUCAUUGGUUUCAGCAUCUUUCUUGUUGGAGCUGCAACAUCCUUUAUGAAGUUAUGGCCAUCACUAAUUCCAUACGAGUAUGGUUUCCGAGUUAUCCUAUUCACCUACUGCUUGAUCAUUGUAUCGGGAUACCGUAUGGGAAACCCCAUCAGGACUGCAAUGGAUAGACUCUGCUCAAUUGCAAUUGGAGCCCUCAUAGCUGUUCUUGUGAAUGUCACCAUUUACCCAAUCUGGGCAGGGGAACAACUACACAUGGAGUUAGUUGCCAAUUUCAGUUCUCUGGCAGACUCGUUAGAAGAGUGCGUCAAAAAGUAUCUAAGCGGCGACGUUUCCGAACAUCCUGAUUUCUCAAAGACAGUCAUGGAUGACUUCCCUGAUGAACCAGCAUUCAGGAAGUGCCGAGCUAUGUUAAAUUCAUCAGCAAAACUUGACUCGCUGGCGAACUCUGCUAAGUGGGAGCCACCACAUGGGAGAUUCAAACACUUCCUCUACCCAUGGGCAGAAUAUGUGAAAGUUGGCAAUGUUCUUCAGUACUGUGCCUAUGAGGUGAUGGCUUUACAUGGCUGCCUGCACUCAGAGAUUCAGGCACCAUACAACCUAAGAUGUGCUUUCCGCUCUGAGAUCUUAGAUGCCACAAACCAAGCUGCAGAGUUGCUGCACAGUUUGGCAAAGGAUGUAAACAACAUGAAGUCAAGCCUUCAAACAAGCCUACUCAAGCAUGUGCAUGUCUCAACUGAGCGUCUGCAACAAUCAAUUGACCUGCAGUCCUACCUCUUUACUGUAAAUCAUGAAGCCAACUCUGCCAAGCCACAGUUGAAAACCUCCUGGGCUGUCACUUUCAACCUCAACAGCAAACAAAAUGAUGACCCAGAAAGUAAGAUGGCUGAAAACAUAGCAACACAAGUAGCUGGGCCACUGCAACCUGAAUCCUACCAUGAGAUGAUGAAAAGGCAGCAGAGGAGGCUGCAUUCAUGGCCUUCUCGGGAGGUGGAUGAUUUUGAAGAUGAUGAAAAUGACGUUUCUGAUAUGAUUCCGAGGAUGCGUGCACUUGAAAGUACCACAGCGCUGUCGCUUGCGACUUCCGCAUCGCUACUGAUUGAAUUCGUUGCUAGGCUUGAUCAUUUGGUUGAAGCUGUUGAGAAGCUCUCCCAGAUGGCCAGGUUCAAGCAGCAGACUGGAACCUAA